rnacentral:rRNA from 1 species
CCUACGGGAGGCAGCAGUGGGGAAUAUUGCACAAUGGGGGCAACCCUGAUGGUGCGACGCCGCGUGGGGGAAUGAAGGUCUUCGGAUUGUAAACCCCUGUCAUGUGGGAGCAAAUUAAAAAGAUAGUACCGCAAGAGGAAGAGACGGCUAACUGUGUGCCAGCAGCCGCGGUAAUACAGAGGUCUCAAGCGUUGUUCGGAAGCACUGGGCGGAAGGCGUGCGUAGGCUGUUUCGUAAGUCGUGUGUGAAAGGCGCGGGCUCAACCCGCGGAUGGCACAUGAUACUGCGAGACUAGAGUAAUGGAGGGGGAACCGGAAUUCGCGGUGUAGCAGUGAAAUGCGUAGAUAUCGAGAGGAACACUCGUGGCGAAGGCGGGUUCCUGGACAUUAACUGACGCUGAGGCACGAAGGCCAGGGGAGCGAAAGGGAUUAGAUACCCCAGUAGUC